rnacentral:rRNA from 1 species
AGAGUUUGAUCAUGGCUCAGAAUGAACGCUGGCGGCGUGCCUAACACAUGCAAGUCGAGCGAGAAAGUCUCUUCGGAGAUAAGUACAGCGGCGGACGGGUGAGUAACGCGUGAGAAUUUACCCUUUAGUGAAGAAUACCUCUGAGAAAUCAGGGUUAAUACUGCAUACGUCCUACGGGGAGAAAGGUGGCCUCUUGCUGCCGCUAAAGGAUAAGCUUGCGUACUAUUAGCUAGUUGGUGAGGUAAAGGCUCACCAAGGCGAUGAUGGUUAGCCGGGCCUGAGAGGGUGUACGGCCACACUGGAACUUAGACACGGUCCAGACUCCUACGGGAGGCAGCAGUGAGGAAUAUUGCGCAAUGGGCGAAAGCCUGACGCAGCGACGCCGCGUGGAGGAUGAAGGUCUUCGGAUUGUAAACUCCUGUUAAGUGGGAAGAAAGACCUAUUUCUAAUACAGAUAGGGGAUGACGGUACCAUUAGAGAAAGCACCGGCUAACUUCGUG